UGUGGAAGACUCUGAGCUACUAGGUCUGAGAGGGGUGGGAGAGGGAGCAGAAUCAGAGGAACCUGCUGUUUGCAAAGGAGUUUUCAGAACUACACUAAUGGAGCUGGAGGAGUUUAAUGUGAAAACGCUGUAUGACAAGUUAGAGGAUCAGAAUUUACAUCUGGCAACACAGCUGGCAAAGCACCGCAAAGACACACAGGAGUUUUACAGGAACAUGUGCCAGCAAAUUGAUGCUCUGAGGGACACACUAGAAAAUAUGGAACCUUCAAAACUGAACCAGCUGAAAAAAAUACUAGACAAUGAAGUUCUGAUGAAAAGAGAAACUGCUCAUGAGCCGUGGAUGGGGCUGAUGGAGGCCGUGCUGAGAUCUUUGGAGGGAGUGCUGUGCAGAAUGAAUGGGGAGGUCUGGCAGCAACAGGACAGCACAGCAACAUACAGCCACAGAGACACUCGAGAGAGUGAACUUCACACCCGAUACACUCAGUUUUCUCCUGCAGACAUGUCAGAGUUUAAAGUGGGUGCAGACACAGAGGCAGCUUCCUCAGAUCCAGGUCAACAGCAGAGCACCAUCCCCUGCGUGAGUGAAGAGGAACUGGCCAAGUUUGUGUCUCUGACUCCUCUGUCCAAAACACUGCAGGAAAUAAAGGAAUCACUCCAGACACUCGCCCACACAUCCGACACAGAGGACGUAAUUAUCAGCCCAGCAGAGGGUGAACCAUCUGACCUGAUCCCUGUUGCCCUUGACAGCCUUUCCCCACAGCAUUUUGCUAUCUUCCUGUUUGGCUGCCAUGUUGUGCGUUUACUGAGCAGAGCUUGUUCCUUCCCCUCUGUCGUGCUGCUAUUGGCCAGGACGGUGCCAGUCUCUCACUGUGAUAACCUGCUGGCCUACUGCCAUAAAGACUUUUAUUACGACACAGCCAAUCAAAUUCUGUACAUCCUAGAGAGGAAGCUUCAAAAUGCUGGCCAGUUCAUCUCCAUUCUCUUACACUCAAUGGCCUAUAUCACCUCAGGUAAGAAAGAUUGCCCUAGUCUUCACUACAUAGUUGUUUACAGAUGUCUACAGAUUUCUUUUACCUUUAUUAAACAAGGCAAGUCACUUAAGGACAACAUUUGUUUUGAAAGAAAUAUCUUAUGCUCAGAAGGCUGCUUUUAUUUGUUUAAAGAUACAGUAAAAACAGUAAUAUUUUGA
ensembl:lncRNA